CCUGGCUCAGGAUGAACGCUAGCACAGGCUUAACACAUGCAAGUCGAGGGGUAGCAGGGUAGCAAUACCGCUGACGACCGGCGCACGGGUGAGUAACACGUAUCCAACCUUCCCAUAACUCAGGGAUAGCCUUUCGAAAGAAAGAUUAAUACCUGAUAGUACUUUUUCAAGGCAUCUUGAGAAAGUUAAAGAUUUAUUGGUUAUGGAUGGGGAUGCGUUCCAUUAGAUAGUUGGUGAGGUAACGGCUCACCAAGUCUUCGAUGGAUAGGGGUUCUGAGAGGAAGGUCCCCCACAUUGGUACUGAGACACGGACCAAACUCCUACGGGAGGCAGCAGUGAGGAAUAUUGGUCAAUGGGCGAGAGCCUGAACCAGCCAAGUAGCGUGAAGGAUGAAGGUCCUAUGGAUUGUAAACUUCUUUUAUAGUAGAAUAAAGUGAUCCACGUGUGGAUUUUUGUAUGUAUACUAUGAAUAAGGAUCGGCUAACUCCGUGCCAGCAGCCGC
rnacentral:rRNA from 1 species